rnacentral:rRNA from 1 species
AGAAUAAGGGUUCGACUCCGGAGAGGGAGCCUGAGAAACGGCUACCACAUCCAAGGAAGGCAGCAGGCGCGCAAAUUACCCACUCUCGGCACGAGGAGGUAGUGACGAAAAAUAACGAGACGGAUCUCUUUGUGGCCCGUUAUCGGAAUGAGAACAAUUCAAAUCCUUUAACGAGGAUCUAGCGGAGGGCAAGUCUGGUGCCAGCAGCCGCGGUAAUUCCAGCUCCGCAGGUGUAUAUCUAUGCUGCUGCGGUUAAAAAGCUCGUAGUUGGAUCUGCGUGCUCGGAACUGGUUGGCUCACUGAGCUCAUACUGGUCUCCGGCGCUUUAUUGGCUGGUUUUCCCUUGAUGCUCUUAACCGGGUGUCUUGGGUGGCUAGCACGUUUACUUUGAAAAAAUUAGAGUGCUCAAUACAGGCGCAAAGCCUUGAAUAGUGGUGCAUGGAAUAAUAGAAUAGGACCUCGGCUCUAUUUUGUUGGUUUUCGGAACGCGAGGUAAUGAUUAAGAGGGACAGACGGGGGCAUUCGUAUUGCGACGUUAGAGGUGAAAUUCUUGGAUCGUCGCAAGACGGACGACUGCGAAAGCAUUUGCCAAGAAUGUUUUCAUUAAUCAAGAACGAAAGUUAGAGGUUCGAAGGCGAUCAGAUACCGCCCUAGUUCUAACCGUAAACGAUGCCAACUAGCGAUUCGCAGGCGUUAAACAACGACCUUGCGGGCAGCUUCCCGGAAACGAAAGUGUUCGGGUUCCGGGGGAAGUAUGGUUGCAAAGCUGAAACUUAAAGGAAUUGACGGAAGGGCACCACCAGGAGUGGAGCCUGCGGCUUAAUUUGACCCAACACGGGAAAACUCACCCGGCCCGGACACCGUAAGGAUUGACAGAUUGAGAGCUCUUUCUUGAUUCGGUGGGUGGUGGUGCAUGGCCGUUCUUAGUUGGUGGAGCGAUUUGUCUGGUUUAUUCCGAUAACGAACGAGACUCUGGCCUACUAAAUAGUGGGCGGAUUCUUUCUGUCCGCAACACUUCUUAGAGGGACAAGCGGUGUUCAGCCGCACGAGAUUGAGCAAUAACAAGUCUGUGAUGCCCUUAGAUGUCCGGGGCUGCACGCGCGCUACACUGAAGGAAUCAGCGUGCUUUCUGACCUUGCCCGAAAGGGCUGGGUAACCCGAUGAAAAUCCUUCGUGAUUGGGAUAGGGACUUGCAAUUAUUUCCCUUGAACGAGGAAUUUCCAGUAAGUGUGGGUCAUAAGCUCGCGUUGAUUACGUCCCUGCCCUUUGUACACACCGCCCGUCGCUGCCCGGGACUGAGCCGUUUCGAGAAGAACAGGGACCGUCGUUGAAGGGCCCUAACGGGCUUUUCUCUGAUAGAAACUGUUUUAAUCGCAGUGGCUUGAACCGGGCAAAAGUCGUAACAAGGUU